rnacentral:lncRNA from 1 species
CUUUUAUUUUACAAAUACAAGCCAUUCAACAUAGAUAUAUGUAAUAAUUCUAAAUGCUAUUUGGCCUUUGUUUACCUCCGCCCUACCGCUUUCUCAUCGCUGUUUCUUCAAACGUCUGAAUUUGGGACAUCUUUUAAAACUAUGCCCCCGCCUCUCCCUGUCCUGAAGACUACACACACUCGAAGUCGCGCACACCAAAAAGAAUUGGUCACCGAGAGAAAGGGCGGCAACAGAUUUUAAAAAGAAAAAUAAGUCACAGGCAAUUUUGCCAUAGACAGUGGCAACGUAUCUACCAGCCUGUCUAUGACCCUCAAUAAACAUGUUCAGAAAUGGUGAAAAGGCUAGCGAAGCAGACUGUCAAACAAGAGACAGAAACGGGGCGGGGGGCGGGGGGCGGGGGUCUGAUGACCCGCAGCGGCUGCUUUAGAACCGGCUGGGCCGCCCCGGGCCGCAGCCCGCGCAGAAAGCUGCGCGCGCCCUUAGGACCUUUUGAACUCUGGCCGCUCGACAAAAACACCCUUUUGAAAAGGUGGCAUUCACUGGGCUGACAGAAUUAAGCAACACCAAAUUAAGGCGCUAAUAAAAAGCGCGUUGGGCUCAGAACUGCGCCUCUGGUUUUAAUCCCGGCGUUUUGGAUUAAUAUCAGGUGCUAAUUUCGAACAUUUAGGGCAGCUCUUCGGAGGAUAUAAAGAAGGGAACGGCAUAAUUAUUAAACUUUUUCUUUUAUGCUAGAAGAGCUGGGGGUGGGGGUGCGUUUCUUGUUAGGAGCACUCUGGUAGCAUUAAUUACGUGCAAAAGGAGUAAAUUUGAAGGCAAACACCGAAACAUCGCUCGGCCUUCCUCCAGGUCCUCUUGGGAACGGCGGGUCUGCGCGGGAGAAGGGAGGAGCGCUUUGCACGCAAAGGCGUUUUGCACCGGGAGGCCAGACCCCGCUCCCGGGGUGGCCCCAAGUCCGCGCCCAAAGGUAGGCACGUACAGGCAGCCAAAUCUGCUUCUCCGCAAUUAACCGGGGUCUUGUGAAGAUUCCCCGUCCGAGGUUCCGCCCAGAGGAUGACUGGGAGAGGGCUGAACGUGGAGUAGAGUUGUUCUUUUUCCUUCCUUUGAGCGCAGCCUGAAGGCAGAGGGCCUGAUUAGGCCUCCUGGUGUGCGGCUUGGUGCGUUUCAGACCAGCGGCCUGGCUGGGAAGUCGUCCACCCUUGUCGCACUCCCAGCCCAGACUCCUCGGUUUGGAGAGCCAUGGGGCCCACGGCGUGAUCACUCCCGUCCCAUUAGGUCCAUCGGUGGAGAAACCUGAGCCGGGCGUCUGCAGUGCCGCGGGCACCGUCUGCCCCCGCGCGCCCCUGGGGUUGCGGCUGCUGCGCCGUGGGCUCGGGCCGGUCGGCCCUUCUUAUGCCCGCACAAAGGCUUGGAGAUUCCACCUGCCACCACUUGAGGGGAGCAGCAGCUGUGUUUUCUGAUGCCCCCCAUCUGCUGGAAGUUGUGCAGGACAGCUCUUGCUCUUCCUUUGGCAGGUCUUCUGUGUGUUUUGAUGGACCAUCCAUCCAUGUCAGGUAUGGUCUGUUGCAACGUGAUCCCAGUUCCUUUUGGAUUAUAGCACUCUGCCCUUCUACAUGCUUUAGGAAGCUUGAAAUCUGUCUGUUCACUGAUUUCCCUCAAGAAAUGCUGUAAGGAACCUCCAGAAGAGAUAAACACUGCUGUGCUUAGAGCAGUUUGGACAACUA